UACGAGUGCCCCAAGCGUUAUCCGGAAUUAUUGGGCGUAAAGGGUCAGUAGGCGGUUUUGUAAGCCAGAUGUGAAAGCCCCGGGCUUAACCUGGGAAUGGCAUUUGGGACUGCAAGGCUGGAGUACGGCAGAGGGAGGUGGAAUUCCAGGUGUAGCAGUGAAAUGCGUAGAUAUCUGGAGGAACACCGAUGGCGAAGGCAGCCUCCUGGGCUAGUACUGACGCUCAUGCACGAAAGCGUGGGGAGCAAACAGG
rnacentral:rRNA from 1 species